rnacentral:rRNA from 1 species
UGGGGAAUUUUGGACAAUGGGGGAAACCCUGAUCCAGCCAUCCCGCGUGUGCGAUGAAGGCCUUCGGGUUGUAAAGCACUUUUGGCAGGAAAGAAACGUCAUGGGUUAAUACCCCGUGAAACUGACGGUACCUGCAGAAUAAGCACCGGCUAACUACGUGCCAGCAGCCGCGGUAAUACGUAGGGUGCAAGCGUUAAUCGGAAUUACUGGGCGUAAAGCGUGCGCAGGCGGUUCGGAAAGAAAGAUGUGAAAUCCCAGAGCUCAACUUUGGAACUGCAUUUUUAACUACCGGGCUAGAGUGUGUCAGAGGGAGGUGGAAUUCCGCGUGUAGCAGUGAAAUGCGUAGCUAUGCGGAGGAACACCGAUGGCGAAGGCAGCCUCCUGGGAUAACACUGACGCUCAUGCACGAAGGCGUGGGGAGCAAACAGG